ACCUACGGGGGGCAGCAGUGAGGAAUAUUGGUCAAUGGGCGCGAGCCUGAACCAGCCAAGUCGCGUGAGGGAAGACGGUCCUAUGGAUUGUAAACCUCUUUUGUCGGGGAGCAAAAGACGCCACGCGUGGCGUUCCGAGAGUACCCGAAGAAAAAGCAUCGGCUAACUCCGUGCCAGCAGCCGCGGUAAUACGGAGGAUGCGAGCGUUAUCCGGCUUUAUUUGGUUUAAUGGGUGCGCAGGCGGACGCUCUAGUCAGCGUGACAAUUGAGAGGCUCAACCUCUUC
rnacentral:rRNA from 1 species